UCCAGACUCCUACGGGAGGCAGCAGUGAGGAAUAUUGGUCAAUGGCCGAGAGGCUGAACCAGCCAAGUCGCGUGAGGGAUGACGGCCCUACGGGUUGUAAACCUCUUUUGUCGGGGAGCAAAGAGAGUCACGUGUGACUCAUUGAGAGUACCCGAAGAAAAAGCAUCGGCUAACUCCGUGCCAGCAGCCGCGGUAAUACGGAGGAUGCGAGCGUUAUCCGGAUUUAUUGGGUUUAAAGGGUGCGUAGGCGGAAGGUUAAGUCAGCGGUCAAAUGUCGGUGCUCAACACCGGCCUGCCGUUGAAACUGGUCUUCUUGAGUGAGCGAGAAGUAUGCGGAAUGCGUGGUGUAGCGGUGAAAUGCAUAGAUAUCACGCAGAACUCCGAUUGCGAAGGCAGCAUACCGGCGCCCAACUGACGCUGAAGCACGAAAGCGUGGGUAUCGAACAGGAUUAGAUACCCCCGUA
rnacentral:rRNA from 1 species